UACAGAGGUCCCAAGCGUUGUUCGGAUUCACUGGGCGUAAAGGGUGCGUAGGUGGCCGGGUAAGUCUGACGUGAAAUCUCCAAGCUCAACUUGGAAACUGCGUCGGAUACUAUCCGGCUAGAGGAUCGGAGGGGAGACUGGAAUACUUGGUGUAGCAGUGAAAUGCGUAGAUAUCUGGAGGAAUACCGGUGGCGAAGGCGGCAUCCUGGACCGAGAUUGACACUGAUGAGCGAAAGCUAGGGGAGCAAACGGG
rnacentral:rRNA from 1 species